AGACAGUUCGGUCUCUAUCUGUUGUGGGCGUAAGAAGUUUGAGAGGACCUGUCUUUAGUACGAGAGGACCGAGAUGGACUAACCGCUGGUGUAUCAGUUGUGCCGCCAGGUGCAGUGCUGAGUAGCUACGUUGGGCAGAGAUAAGCGCUGAAAGCAUCUAAGUGCGAAACUCCCCUCAAGAUGAGACUUCUUUAAAGGGACGUUGGAGAUGACAACGUUGAUAGGCUGCAGGUGUAAAGGCAGAAAUGUCAUAGCU
rnacentral:rRNA from 1 species